GAUGAACGCUCGCGAUAGGCUUAACACAUGCAAGUCGAGGGGCAGCAUGGUCUUAGCUUGCUAAGACUGAUGGCGACCGGCGCACGGGUGCGUAACGCGUAUGCAACUUGCCUCACAGAGGGGGAUAACCCGUCGAAAGACGGACUAAUACCGCGUACACUCCAUCUUGGGCAUCCAAGGUAGAGGAAAUGAAAUUCGCUGUGAGAUAGGCAUGCGUCCCAUUAGCUAGUUGGUGAGGUAACGGCUCACCAAGGCGACGAUGGGUAGGGGAACUGAGAUGUUGAACCCCCACACUGGUACUGAGACACGGACCAGACUCCUACGGGAGGCAGCAGUGAGGAAUAUUGGUCAAUGGGCGAGAGCCUGAACCAGCCAAGUCGCGUGAAGGAUGACUGUCUUAUGGAUUGUAAACUUCUUUUAUACGGGAAUAACAAGAGUCACGGGUGACUCCCUGCAUGUACCGUAUGAAUAAGCAUCGGCUAACUCCGUG
rnacentral:rRNA from 1 species